rnacentral:tRNA from 1 species
AGCCUCGUAGCUCAGUUGACUAUAGCGUUGGCUGUACUAAAGCCUUCCCCUUGUUGUCGUGGGUUCAAAUCCCACCGAGGCCA